CCUACGGGGGGCAGCAGUGGGGAAUAUUGGACAAUGGGGGGAACCCUGAUCCAGCCAUGCCGCGUGUGUGAAGAAGGCCCUCGGGUUGUAAAGCACUUUCAGUGAGGAAGAACGCCUGGUGGUUAAUACCCAUCAGGAAAGACAUCACUCACAGAAGAAGCACCGGCUAACUCCGUGCCAGCAGCCGCGGUAAUACGGAGGGUGCGAGCGUUAAUCGGAAUUACUGGGCGUAAAGCGCGCGUAGGUGGCUUGAUAAGCCGGUUGUGAAAGCCCCGGGCUCAACCUGGGAACGGCAUCCGGAACUGUCAAGCUAGAGUGCAGGAGAGGAAGGUAGAAUUCCCGGUGUAGCGGUGAAAUGCGUAGAGAUCGGGAGGAAUACCAGUGGUGAAGGCGGCCUUCUGGACUGACAUUGACACUGAGGUGCGAAAGCGUGGGUAGCAAACAGGAUUAGAUACCCUAGUAGUC
rnacentral:rRNA from 1 species